UCAAAACACGAUAGUUGAAUUUUCUGGAAAAACUUCAAGUUGCGGCAGGGUUUCUUGGCUCUCAAAAGCUUGCAAAUGAAGGCAAUAACUUAUUCUAUUUAUAGGGAAUGAUAUUGGAUCAAAAUACGUGUGAAAUGAUGCUAAAUUCGUGUAAAAUGAUUUUGAUCCAAGUGUGUGAAAAGUGUGACUUGAAACUCCUCAAAACUUAGUCAAAUG
rnacentral:lncRNA from 1 species